UACGUAGGGUGCAAGCGUUAAUCGGAAUUACUGGGCGUAAAGCGUGCGCAGGCGGUGAUGUAAGACAGAUGUGAAAUCCCCGGGCUCAACCUGGGAACUGCAUUUGUGACUGCAUCGCUUGAGUGCGGCAGAGGGGGAUGGAAUUCCGCGUGUAGCAGUGAAAUGCGUAGAUAUGCGGAGGAACACCGAUGGCGAAGGCAAUCCCCUGGGCCUGCACUGACGCUCAUGCACGAAAGCGUGGGGAGCAAACAGG
rnacentral:rRNA from 1 species